UACGUAGGGUGCGAGCGUUGUCCGGAAUUAUUGGGCGUAAAGCGUGCGCAGGCGGUUUUGUAAGUCUGUUGUGAAAGCCCCGGGCUUAACCUGGGAAUUGCGAUGGAGACUGCAAGGCUUGAAUCUGGCAGAGGGGGGUAGAAUUCCACGUGUAGCAGUGAGAUGCGUAGAGAUGUGGAGGAACACCGAUGGCGAAGGCAGCCCCCUGGGUCAAGAUUGACGCUCAGGCACGAAAGCGUGGGGAGCAAACAGG
rnacentral:rRNA from 1 species